GAUGAACGCUAGCUACAGGCUUAACACAUGCAAGUCGAGGGGUAACAGGAGGAAAGCUUGCUUUUCUUGCUGACGACCGGCGCACGGGUGAGUAACGCGUAUCCAACCUUCCCCUUAGUAGAGGAUAGCCCGGCGAAAGUCGGAUUAAUACCCUAUGUUCUUCGUAGAGGACAUCUGAAAUGAAGCAAAGGUUCACCGCUAAGGGAUGGGGAUGCGUCUGAUUAGGUAGUAGGCGGGGUAACGGCCCACCUAGCCGACGAUCAGUAGGGGUUCUGAGAGGAAGGUCCCCCACAUUGGAACUGAGACACGGUCCAAACUCC
rnacentral:rRNA from 1 species